UGGGGAAUCUUGGACAAUGGGGGCAACCCUGAUCCAGCAAUGCCGCGUGUGGGAUGAAGGCCUCGGGUUGUAAACCACUUUUGGCGGGGGCGAAAUAUCGAGUGCUAAUACCAUUCGGUGAUGACGGUACCCGCAGAAUAAGCACCGGCUAACUACGCGCCAGCAGCCGCGGUAAUACGUAGGGUGCAAGCGUUAAUCGGAAUUACUGGGCGUAAAGCGUGCGCAGGCGGUUAGGUAAGACAGGUGUGAAAUUCCCGGGCUCAACCUGGGAACUGCAUUUGUGACUGCCUGACUAGAGUGCGGCAGAGGGGAGUGGAAUUCCGCGUGUAGCAGUGAAAUGCGUAGAUAUGCGGAGGAACACCGAUGGCGAAGGCAACUCCCUGGGCCUGCACUGACGCUCAUGCACGAAAAGCGUGGGGAGCAAAACAGGAUUAGAUACCCUGGUAGUCCACGCCCUAAACGAUGUCGACUAGUUGUUGGACGGGUUACUGUUCAGUAACGAAGCUAACGCGUGAAGUCGACCGCCUGGGGAGU
rnacentral:rRNA from 1 species